rnacentral:rRNA from 1 species
UACGGGGGGGGCAAGCGUUGUUCGGAAUUACUGGGCGUAAAGGGCGCGUAGGCGGCUCAUUAAGUCAGGGGUGAAAUCCUGGAGCUCAACUCCAGAACUGCCUUUGAUACUGAAGAUCUUGAGUUCGGGAGAGGUGAGUGGAACUGCGAGUGUAGAGGUGAAAUUCGUAGAUAUUCGCAAGAACACCAGUGGCGAAGGCGGCUCACUGGCCCGAUACUGACGCUGAGGCACGAAAGCGUGGGGAGCAAACAGG